ACUCCUACGGGAGGCAGCAGUAAGGAAUAUUGCGCAAUGGACGACAGUCUGACGCAGCGACGCCGCGUGGGGGAUGAAGGUCUUCGGAUUGUAAACCCCUUUCGGGUGGAAAGAUGGCUCUCGACAACGAGAGCGGACGGUACCACCAGAAGCAGCCACGGCCAACUUCGUGCCAGCAGCCGCGGUAAUACGAAGGUGGCAAGCGUUGUUCGGAUUCACUGGGCGUACAGGGUGUGUAGGCGGUUCGGUAAGCCCUCUGGGAAAGCUCCUGGCUCAACCGGGAAAGUUCAGGGGGGACUGCCGGGCUAGAGGACGGGAGA
rnacentral:rRNA from 1 species